AAAUAUGAAGCGAUAAAUUGCAAUUAGUUUCGACCUAAUCUUAGAUGUAAAUUCAUCCUUAUUUU
rnacentral:tRNA from 1 species